AUUUGUUUACUAAAAUCAUUUGAAUGGAAAUGAAAAUAAAAAAACAAACAUAAGAUCCAUUUAGAUGAUUCAUCUAUAAGAGCUAUGUGGAUGGACAAACAAAUAAUCACAAAAAUCUGAAUGAAUCAUUUGAAUAGAUCAUACAAAUGAAUCAUUUGGAUGGAGAUGACAAAUGGUGAAACAAACAGCCCCUAUGUUAUUACAAAAUGGGUGGAGAAUAUUAACAAUUCUAAUAAGUAAAUAUACAACAUAAGAAAUAGAAAUAUUACAUUAAACAUUUAUAGGUAAAUAUACAAUAUAAGGAAAAAUAAAUGAAAAGUAAAUAUACGUUAUAAGAAAUAGAAAUAUUACAUUAAACAUCUAUAAUAAUUUAUCAUCUAAUAUAAAAGCAAGAAAAUUAGAAUAAGUAAAUAUAUAAUAAAAAAAUAAAAAAAAUAUAUUAAACAUCUAUCUGAAAAAUGUAUCUAUACUAAUAAAAUGGAGCUUUUGAGGCUCAAUAGAGCGUCCACAUCAGCGAAAAAAAAACAUUUUGUGAAAGAUGACACGUGUCAUUAGUAAAAAAUAAAAAAUAAAUAUACAUAUAAAGAAAAAUAAAUAAUAAGUAAAUAUACAAUAUAAAAAAUAAAAUUAUUACAUUAAACAAUAAUAAGUGAGGCUCCAUAGAGCGUCGACAUCAGCGGUAAAAAUGUUUUCUAAAAAAUGACACGUGGCAUUAACAAAAAAUAAAAAAUAAAUAUACAUAUAAAGAAAAAUAAAUAAUAAGUAAAUAUGCAAUAUAAGAAAUAGAAAUAUUACAUUAAAAAUAAUAGGUAAAUAUACAAUAUAAGAAAAAAAAUGAAAAGUAAAUAUACAUUAUAAGAAAUAGAAAUAUUGCAUUAAACAUCUAUCAUAAUUUAUCUUCUGAUAUAAAAGCAAGAAAAUUAGAAUAAGUAAAUAUAUAAUUAAAAAAUAAAAAUACUAUAUUAAACAUCUAUCUGAAAAAUGUAUAUAUACUAAUAAAAUAGAGCUUUUGAGGCUCCAUAGAGCAUCUACAUCAGCGAAAAAAAAAACUUUUUCUAAAAGAUGACACGUGUCAUUAAUAAAAAAUAAAUAUACGUAUAAAGAAAAAUAAAUAAUAAGUAAAUAUACAAUAUAAGAAAUUGAAUUAUUACAUUAAACAAUAAUAAGUAAAUAUACAAUAUAAGGAAAAAUAAAUUAAAAGUAAAUAUACAAUAUAAGAAAUAUAAAUAUUACAUUAAACAUCUAUCAUAAUUUAUCAUUUGAUAUAAUUAAGAAAUGAGAAAAAACUAAAUUAAAAUCUAUUUGAAAAAUGUAUAGUGUAAUAAAUAAUAACUAAAUACACAACAUAAAAAUAGAAAUAUUAUAUUUUAUAAUUAUCGUAAUAUUAGAAUAAAUAAAUGAAAAUAUAAGAAAAAAAUAAAUAUUAAGUAAAUAUAGUAUAUAAGAAAUAAAAAUAUUACAUUAAAUAUAUAUCGUAAUAUUAUCAUUGAUAUAAAAACAAGAAAUUUAGAAUAAAUAAAUAUACAAAAUAAGAAAGAUAAACAAUAAGUAAAUAUACAAUAUAAAAAUGGAAAAACUAAAUUGAGCAUAUAUCUGAAAAAUGCAUAGUGAAAUAAAUAAUAAGUAAAUAUACAACAUAAAAAUAUUAGAUUAAACAUUUAUUAUAAUAUUAAAAUAACUAAAUAUAAAAUAUACGAAUCUAUACUAACAAAAAUGAGCUUUUGAGGCUUCAUAGAGAGUCUACAUUAGCAAAAAAAAUCUUCUUCUAAAAGAUGACACUUGACAUUAAUAAAAAAAUAUAUACGUAUAAAGAAAAAGAAAUAAUUAGUAAAUAUACAAUAUAAGGAAAAAUAAAUUAAAAAAUACAAUAUAAGAAAUAGAAAUAUUACAUUAAAAGCAAGAAAAUUAGAAUAAGUAAAUAUACAAUUAAGAAAUGAAAAAAAAAACUAAAUUAAACAUCUAUCUGAAAAAUGUAUAGUUAAAUAAAUAAUAACUAAAUACACAAUAUAAAAAAUAGAAAUAUUAUAUUAUAUUAUACAAUUAUCGUAAUAUAAGAAAAAAUAAAUAUAAAAUAUAACAAAAAAAUAAAUAUUAAGUAGGAAAAUUACCACAAAUAGCACAUUCAUAGUACCACUUUUCAUGUUUACACUAACCACUUUUACCAUCACUUUUAAUGAAGGGUAAAAGACAAUUAUACCCUUAGUGUUAACUAAUCUAGAUUUAGGGUUUAGAGUUGAGGGGUGGGGUAAGGUUUUUGGAAUGUGAAAUUUAGGAUUCUAAUAAAUAUAUAAAUAAAUACUUAAAAAAUAUAAAUAAAUAGUUUCAAAGAUAAUUUUCGUUUUUCAAAAAGAAAUUUGAAGAAAAAAUAAAAAAAAAUCGAAAAAAAAAUUUCAAAAAAAAAACGUUUUAUAGAAAAGUUCGAAUUUGAAAAAGUAUAACUCAAAAACAAAAAAAAAAUUUACUUUUUUUUAAUUUAUUUUUUUAUUUAAAUAAUAAUUUAUUAUAUAUAUGAAUAACAAAGACAUAAGAGUCUUUUGCCACUUAAUGAAGAAAGUAUUUUUGAAAAUGUCUUUUUAGUAGUGGUAAAAAUGAAAAGUGGAAAACAUGUAAUUUCCCCUGUUAAGUAAAUAUAGUAUAUUAGAAAUAAAAAUAAUACAUUAAAUAUAUAUCGUAUUAUUAUCAUUGAUAUAAAAGCAAUAAAAUUUAGAAUAAAUUAAUAUAUAAAAUAAGAACGAUAAACAAUAAGCAAAUAUACAAUAUAAAAAUGGAAAAACUAAAUUAAACAUAUAUCUGAAAAAAUGUAUAGUUAAAUAAAUAAUAAGUAAAUAUCCAACAUAAAAAUAUUAGAUUACACAUAUAAUAUAAUUUUGGAAUAUGUAAAUAUAAAAUAUAAAAAAAUAAUAAUAAGUAAAUAUAUAAUAUAAGAAAUACACAAAAUACAUUAGACAUCUAUCUAAAAAAUCUAUAAUAAAAUAAAUAAUAAGUAAAAUAAAAUAUAAGAAAUAAAAAUACUACAUUAAACAUAUAUCGUAAUAUUACAAUUUGAUAUAAAAUAAAAAUAGUUAGAUAAGUAAAUAUACAAUUAAAAAAGUAAAUGCACAAGAUAAGAGACAGAACAACUACAUUAAACAUCUAUUUGAAAAAUGUAGAUUUUUUACAUUUUUAUGACUUUCAAAUAUUUUUAUAAGUAAAUAUACAAUAUAAUAAAAAUAAGCAUACAAUAUAAGAAAUAUAAAUUUUACAUGAAGCAUCUAUUAUAAUAAUAUCAUUUGAUAUAAAAGCAAGAAAAUUAGAAUAAGUAAAUAUACAAUAUAACAAAAAUAAAAAAAUAGGUAAAAUACAAUUAAUAAAUGAAAAAUCUAAAUUAAACAUCUCUCUAAAAAAUGUAUAGUAAAAUAAAUAAUAAAUUAGUAUACAAUAUAUUAAAUAGAAAUAUUAUAUUAAGCAUCUAUCGUAUUAUUAGAAUAAGUAAAUAUACUAUAUAAGGAAAAUAAAAACAAAUCUGAGAAACAUACAAUAAAAUAAAUUAUAAGUAAAUAUAAAAUAUCAGAAAUAUAAAUAUUAGAUUAAACAUUAAUAAAUAAUAUUAUCAUUUGAUUUAAAAGUAAAAAAAAAAAUAGAAUAAGUAAAUAUACAAUAUAAGAAAAAUAAACAAUAGGUAAAAUACAAUGAAGAAGUGCAAAAACUACAUUAAACAUCUAUCUCAAAAAGGUAUUGUUUUACAUUUUCAUUAUUUAAAACUACAAUAAGUGAAUAUUAAUGCUAAAUAUUAUAAUAAGUAAAUAUAAAAUAUACGAAAGAAUAAAUAAUAAGUAAAUAUAAUAUAUAAGAAAUAAAAAAAUAUUACAUUAAAUACAUAUCGUAAUAUUAUCAUUGAUAUAAAAGUAAGAAAUUUAGAAUAAGAAAAUAUAAAAAAUAAAAAAAAGAUAAACAGUAAGUAAAUAUACAAUAUAAAAAAUGGAAAAACUAAAUUAAAUAUUUAUCUGAAAAAUAUAUAGUUAAAUGCAAAAAUGUAUAUUUAAAUAAAUAAUAAGCAAAUAUAAAGUAUAAGAAAUAUAAAUAUUACAUUAAACAUCUAUCGUAAUAUUAUCAUUUGAUUUAAAAACAAGAAAAUUAGAAUAAAUAAAUAUACAAUAUUGAAAAAUUCCCUUGGAUAGCCAUUUUUAAGUUUUUGCUACAAAAUAGCUAUAAAUGAGAAAAAUAAUCAAAAUAAGUCUUAUUAAAGAGUAAAAAUACAUUUAUACCCUAUGGUUAACUAACAUAGACUUAUGGUUUAGAGUUAAGGGGUGGGAUUUUGAGGAUAGGAUUUCAAAUUUUUAAAAAUUAAAAUUAAAAAAUUAAAUUUUUUAAAAUAAAAGAGACUAUUUUGGUCACUUUCUUUAUUGAAUACUAUUUUGUGACAAAAAAACUUAAAAGAUCUAUUUGAGAGAAUUGUCUUACAAUAUAAGAAAAAAUAAAUAAUAAGUAAAUAUACAAUAUAAGAAAGGAAAAACUAUAUCAAACAUCUAUCUUAAAAAUGUAUAGUUUUCUGAUUUUUUCUAAAUAAAUAUGUAUUCACACAUACAUACAAUUCAGAAUUUGUUGUUGUUCAGAAUACAACGUUCAAAAAAAUAACUAUAUGGUUAACAUUUGAAAAUAAAAAUAGCCCCGCACGUAGCGCGGAUUAACUCCUAGUCUUUACAUAUAAAAGAUGUUUUGCUCUCUCCUGAGGUUGCCACCUAGGAUUCCACUUAGGAAAGUCGCUUCACGAGGAGUCAACACGUGUCCCGCCUGCUCGAAACACAGCGUUUCAUUAAAGGAAUCAGCGAUCCAUAUGGGCUAAGUUUGUGUGUGGGCUUUUUUUUAAUUUGGCACAAGAAAAGCAGCCCGAUAGCAGUCAACCCUAAUAGCACAAUGUUCAUCUCCGUUCUUUGUUCUUCGUCAUCUGAUCUUCUUUUUCAUCGACCAAAAACGUUACCAGUUACAGAUUCGUCUCAUUAAACCUCUUCUUAACUCCAUCAACCACGAUCUGGUCUUGAAUGUGAACUUCUCUUCUCCGAGGCGGUGUCACUGCGAAUAUAAAAAGUUAAGCCUUCCUCUUAUCAAAACCAUCUUCUUGAUCUGUUGAACCAACAAAGUAAAGUUAUUUUCACAUAAAUGGCUAACUCGAAAGUUCUUAUUUCUCAUUUGAAAUCUGGUAAAUUUUCUUCUCCGGUUGAGGUUAGGUUGAUGCGUUGACUUCCUCUGCCUAGAAAAGGGAAACAUGAACGGUUAGUGGCUACACUCAGUCAAUUCGUCUGGACUUCUUCUUAAAUCGUUAUGGGCGUCAAUAUGCUUCUCCUUGAAGCCAAGGUUGCUCCGGCGAUUUAGAAAACAAACUCAAGUUUUUUCUGUAAGAUUUACAAGUAACGUGAUCUUAAUUAAUUUGUGAUCUUAGUCAUACGAUGUUUGCUUCUUCAUUUUGUUAAGCUCCUCGGUCUUUUUAAUCUGACAAUGGCUCGAACAAAUGCAGAUGAUGAUUUAAAGUCAAAGUCUUUACAAGCUGAGUUUGGCGAAAAGAGGAGCUUUGGUCGCGGUUUCUGUAUUACAGUCAAGAGAUUGCAACAUAUAAAAAAAUUACUAAUGCUCUGCUUCAUAGAAGGUAUGAAGCUACAUAUGGAGAAAUUCAAUGAUGGUAUUGUACUAAGAUAAAGGCUCCUUAGUAUAUUGAAACGAGAGUCUAUAGUGGGGACAUGUAAAGUUCCUAUGUUAUAAAUACCAUUUGAGUCAAAUAUCAUAUGUAAAUUUUUUCCUUGAGUCGAUUUUAGUUUUCAACAAUGUUUUUGUUUUAAAAAAUAGAUUAUUGUAUGAUAGUUUUAAGCAAUCUGCAGGAUAUUACUGAAGAAAACAAAUCUCCUCCAUGCCCAACAGAGUGGUUAUUCCGUGUUGAUAUUGUUAAUAAAUGGAAAGAGUCUAACGGUUUCAGUGCUACCCAGAUGUUUAGAGAAUAUCAAGAUGUCUGAUACGGCCUUACUGGUGAGAAGAGCAUUGUCUUUAAGCCAAUAUACUUUGUUUAUGGAUCUUCCAUAGAUUCUUUUGUGAAAAGGGGGAUUAGAAGUCUUUUGGUUCAAUGGAAAAUUAGCUCAGCAGUCCAGUGAGAAAGUGUUGAAGGAUGCAAUGAAACCAUCACAAAACAGUAAGUAAAUUGAUAAGUUUCUGACAAAAAAACUGUGAAUCAAAAAUAAAAUUAAAUAACUGUAUGAUAAUAUGACGUAUCAGGUUCUGCUUAUGUCUAUGAAAGCUGGCGUCGAACUGAAUCUAACCGCUUCUUCACACGUCUUCUUAACGGUACAGUUUAUCUUUACGAUUACGUUUAAGUUCCAAAUACGUUCCAACUAAAAACUCUAACAAUGUGAUUUCACCAUUUAUUUAUAAUAUCCCAUAAAAUAAAAUAAUAAAAUCAAAAAGAACUAAAAAAUAUCCUAACAAACAAUGAUUUUAAACUCAUUUUCAAAUGGAAAUAAUGUUUCAUAAGCUCAAACCAACGAAAAGAUCUAAUCUCACAAAUAUUUUUUCUUUUGUGUUACCAAACUCAAAAACCAAAAAAAUAAUAUGAAAAUUAAUGGAAAAGCAAAAUGAGGAAUUAUACAUAAUCAAACAUAUAGUUAAAAAAGAGUAACACUAUCUAAUAAAUAAAAUAAAAUACAAAUAGCAUACAUAUUACUAUCUCCCAAAUAUCAACACACUUUUAAAUAAAGCAAAAUGGCAUCGUAACAUCGUCUCUUGCAUUUUUUAAUUAAAGAAAUUAAUUACAAAGUUUUGGCGAACCGCAAUACACAAGAAAUCUAAAAAUAACAUAUGAUAAUGGAUUACCUCAAAUAAAUAAAUUUAAAAAUAAAAAUAAAAUACAUCGUCGCAAUAAAGAUAAAAUAUUAUAUCAUUCCAAGAACCACAACAAUAUAAUUAUGCAAUUUGGUCAACAACAGCUAAUUCAGCUCUAUAUAUCAUUAGAUAUUAUAUAAAUAAAGAUCACAUGUAAAUAAUGUUUCACAAAAACAGAAAAUUAUGCUUUUGAAAAUAAAAAUAUGUCGAUCUAAACACUUAAUUACGUCAAAAUCCCGCGCGGUGCCCUAGUAUUGCAUAACUAAGAGUUUAAUUACUUUCUCGCUUUCAACCUACAUGAAUUCUUAAGUUGGUGCAUAAUUACUCUGAAACUUGUUUUUAUCUAAAAAGUAUUAUUAAAAUAUAAAUUGAAAAUUGUUCAUUCAAUAAUAAAAUAAACUACAAAAUAUCAUUAGUUAUGAAAUUUUUGAUAAAAGUAAAAAUUACAUUGAAAAAAUGGAAACAUCUUCUAUUUUUAAACAUCAAAAACUUCCUUGUUUAAAACAGAUGGGGGUAUAACUUUAUUACAUUAUAUUAAGAAAACAAAGAAACUUGUCCUAUGAUAGCAUCAAAACUUGGAAAUGUGUAAUACAAAUAUGACAAUGGCCAGCCGAACAAAUUAGUUAGCAGGCCCUCUUCGUAGGGCACAAAAGCAUGUUUUUGAGAGUUCAGAGACUAAUCGAAACUGAUACGACGCAUCUUACAAACAAGAUUACCCGUAGGGAAAUCAAGUUCACUACCAGCGUCUGAUUUCAUCACAUCUUUGAGCUCAUCUCUUGGUGUAGCCACACACGUCUGGAAAGUUGCAAGCACAGGAGGAAUCGGCAUGGACAAGGCUGCAAGCACAUUGCUCAAGUACUCUAUAUCUAUACACAGUUGCUGUGCUCCUCGGUCUGAAAUGUAUUGGAUUCCUCUCAGUUGCUCCAUGUACAGAGCCGUUGCGCCUUCUGCUACCUUGAACAUCCACUCGGUUGCAAAGAACUGUGCGUCCUCGUUGUUUGAAUCACCAUUGGUUGAGAUUCCUUCAGCUAGAGGCUCAAGCUGCUGAGGUAAAGUCAGGAGAUAUUAUCCAACGCUUGUAACGUAAGCCUGAGGGUAUGAGCUGAAGUUUGGUAGAGCAAACGCAGUUUGUUCCUCCACAGAAGACCAGAUUGGUAGGCAAGAUACUUCCCCGAGUCUUUGCCUGACUUUUGAUAUGAGGAUGUCAUAUACAAGUUUGUUCACUGUGUCCUCAAACGCAGCUACUCUCUGAGAUGCCAAAGGCAGUGCGUGGAACUUGGAUCUUUUGACUGCAAAAAAAAAACAGCAAAAGGAAAUGAUACAUAUGAACAGUGUAUAUUAAUUUAUGAAUCUUUGUCAAUUAAGACUACCUGUUCCAACAGGUUUAGGAGUUUGCGAGCCUUCUCCGGAACAUCAACCAACCGAAUAGCUGCCACAUCCAGGGAAGCUCAUCCAGCCAUAGACAAAUCUCCAGCUGUUUGUUCACUUGUCAAAUGUGACAGGUUCUGAUCCAGAUUUGUGCCAAAUAGUGAAAUAGACAAGCUGGAGUUUAGUCUAGCCAGAGUGGCUCUCAAAGAAGCUUCAAACACAGAAGACCUGCUCAAGUCAGCUUCUCACCGUCUUUAUAGGAGCUUUCGUCUAAUAUUUUAAGCCUUCUGGUGUUGUCAAUCGAGACAUGGUAACAUAAAACUGUCCAUGGGUAAAUACAGGCCGGGGAAGAUAUAAAGCUGACUUGCUUUAGGCUUUGGCCUUGACUUUUAUUUAUUGUCAUGGCAUAGCUAAGUCGGAUUGGGUAUUGCCGUCUACGAAGUUAAAAGGAUGUAUGCUGUCAGUUGGGCUUAGCUGUAUCCUAGGGAGUAAUAUUCGUUCACCAACUUCUGGUCCGGUCAUUUUUAUCAAAAAAAACAAAAAAAAAAACUUCUGGUCCGGUCAUAAUCUCCACUUCGACAAUCACCAAGCCAUGAUCCUGAUUAACGUUGCGCAGUGAAUUCAAAGGAGUAGCAUGAAUGUAGUUUACUCAAACCGUGCCCAAACUGAUCCGAUUCGAUUGUAUUUUAUAAAUUCCUUACUAACAUUUUCUUGUAUUCCUCCUGUGUAUUAAAAUAAUUUUAAAAUAAAAUCUAAAAAUUAAACCCGGGUGGAAUUAUUCAUACGUUAGUCUCCCAAUUAAUCUUGAAAUUUGAAUAGUUACAAAACAACUAAAAUUUUAAUAAAUCAACAAUUCCAAUUUAGUUAUAUAAUUAUAACUUUAUUUUUCUUAAUCUUAGGAAGAUUGUGAAUGAAUUUACUUGUUCCGUAGUCAUUUGUAUCUAAACCGAAACAUAUAGUAAAAAAAAACUAAAUAUUAGGAAUUAGUAAAUCAGAGUAUUUCGGUUGGAAUGUCACGUAAGAUGAUAACUCGAAUAAUACUGAAAGUCUGUAUAGUAACUAAUUAUUUAAAUAUUCUAUUAUAUCAUUACUCAAAAGUUAGUUAUAGGAUGACAAAAAGUUUCCUUUUAGUAUUGUUAUGAUUUCAACGUCAAAAGCCAAAAACGCAAAGGAGUAGCAUGAAUGGAGUUUACUCAAACCCUGCCCAAUCUGAUCCGAUCACAAUUCUAAUGGAUUUUCCACUUUUAUUUCAGUUAAAAGAAUUGAAAAAACUAUAUAAGAGGGAAUAAAUUGAAAUAGUUUUUUAUUAUUGACUGAAACAAAGAUAAUCAAAGGUGCGAAAGUACUGCAGAUAAAUAAGAAGUAUUUAAACUUGGAACAUGAAACCAUAACUGCUGGUAUCCACUUUCUUGGCCAUCUUGGUAGAUGAGUGGGUCCUCUUCUUCGCCGAAGCAUCGCCUGGUUUCGCAUCAGUAUUCUUAUCUGCAUCACUACUGCCUUCUCCAGUUUCAACACGAACAGGAACCAGACCACCAUCUGCCAUGUCAGCAUCAUCACCAUCGUUUCUCCCCUGAUACAUUCGGAAAGUGUUACAUACUAACAGACAUACAUAGAUAAUCAAAGGUUCGCAAAAUCACUCUUACCUUAACGACAAAGUCAGGAACUGGAACACGCUCAUGCUCCUUAAGGAUGCGGGUGAUGGUGAGGUCUAAUGGUGUGCAGUGAAGUUAAACGUGCUAACUCUGACCUGGAAGGUGAAUGUUUUUCCUUCCAUGUCUGUGAUAAACAGCGGCACCUAAGAGUCCUCAGGACUUACUCCUUCCUCAGCCUGUUCGUCAGAAUUAAAGCACCAUGUAUGUUAGCAUUUAUAUUUAAUAAUCCUUUAAGAAGACUAAUGCACAUCUUACCAACACUGACCGGCUUCACUUGCUCGGAGGUUAUGCAGCUUAGUCAUCACACCAUCAAAACACACGAAUGCACCUUCAACUGUGCUGUCAGCGAUUGCCAACUCCACACGAUAACUGAUGGAGUUUACGGAAAAAAUGAAGACGUCCAUGCCUCUCCAAGGAUAGAAAUUAACGCCCUACAAACUUUCAGUUCUGAAUUAUUGCCUAUACACUAUCUAGCCCUUGACUAAUUUGCCAAUAAUGAAUUCAAGAAUUUUAAUCAUAUUUUUCUUCCUCCCAACAAGCUAGGCAUUUCGAAUCGUGACUGUGACCAGUUUUACAAGUGCAUCACAUCCGUCUUCUCGAAGUGGACUUUUAUUUAGACGUCACCGUGCUAUCACAUACGAGUUCCUGGAGCUUUGUUUUCAAGAGUUUAACAUGUGUGUUAUAGGUUUCUACGGCGUUACUUUUCUGAUUUUAUGAUAAAGAGGUUUAAGACAGAAUUUUUACAUAAACUUUGGUUAUGAUCUGGUAUCUGUAUUUCAAGUGUUUCCCUACAUGGAAUCACUUCCAAAACAAACAAACAAAAAUUAACUAUAUGAUUUCCCUACUUAUUUCUACCCAGAAACAAACUAAUAUCUUAAAACAUGAACGGUUGUUAUUGCAAAAAAAUCAAACAGAUUUAUUAGUUUGAUGGGAUUUAUUGUUUUCAAACUCUAGCAUUUAUAAUAUAGAAUAAAUACUUUAAAAAUAUAGUAGAUCAAGAUGAGAUGGUCAACAUUUUAAGGAAAACAAGUGAAGAAAGAUGACUGAAAAGAAUAAGAGAAAUUCUUGGGUUCACCCUCUAGGUGAAUCUAUAGGUUCACCAACCAAUGAAAAUUGGUUAUUUUAUAUACAAAUUUUUUCAAAAAAGGAAACAAAAUUUUUAAAAUUUAUUUUUUUAAAUAAAAGGAUAUAAAAUACAUAAAAAACGAAUAAUAACAAUAAAAGAUGAUUUUUUCAUAUUGUUAAAGCUGUUCAUAUUAAACACUAAAUCCUAAACCCUAAACAUGAAACCCUAAACCCUUGGAUAAAUCCUAAACCCUUGGGUAAAGAGAUAUUCCAACGGUUAUGAGUUUAUCCAUGGGUUUAGGAUUUACCCAAGGGUUUAGAGUUUAGGGUUUAGGGUUUAGGGUUUAGGGUUUAGUAUGAACGGCUUUAACAACAUUAAAAAAUUCUUUUCUUACAGCAGCUACUAUUUUUUUAUUUAUUUUUUAUAUUUUACCUAAGGGUUUAGGAUUUAUCAAAGAGUUUAGGGUUUAAGGUUUAGUGUUUAGGAUUUAUCAAAAUUUGUUUAUUACAAUUAAUAUUUUACCAUUAGAUAUAUUAAAAUAAUAUUCUAGAUCGAUAUUCAAUUUUCAGUUUUUAACUAUUACACGUAAAAAAUAUUAUUAAGUAUCUUUUUUUGAAAAGGGGGUUUUAUAUUUUAAGUAGGUUAUUGAAGUACUUUUUCUUUUUGUGAAUUUAUUUGAAAUGAGAUUUCGAUCUUUUAAACUAUGAUAAUUUAUGUUCUAUACAUAAUUAUAUAUUAUUUACGUAACUCUAAAAUCUCGGACUUGAUUCUUCAUAUUUUAUUAGUUAAUUGUGUUACAUAUACUAGAAAUACUUACUUCAAACUUAAAAUAUAAAAAAAAUCAAAUUUAAAAUUAGUUAUAUAUAAUUUAAUAUACAAGAAUUUACAUACAAAUAAAAAUGAUAAAUGUAAUAAAUUUAAAUAUAUUAUCCGCGCGUAGCGCGGAGAAAGGAUCUAGUUAAAAUGAUGACUAAAUAACAAAAAAGUUAAUAACAAAUCUAUGUUUUUUAGUUUUAUUUUCCUUUAAGUCUUGUUUAUUGAAGUUUGAUUAGUUAUCGUUAUCUUUUAUUCAUUCCAUAUUAAAUAAUGAAAUAUUUAAGAUCUAGUUUUUUUUUGUUUUAAAAUAAUUCUACAAGUUUUAUACACUUGGAUAUCAAGUUAACAACAAUGAAAAAUUAGUCCCAAAGAGUUAAAAAAGUUAUGGGCCCAUACAUAUGAAUAGUAGGAAUGGGUCCAAGACCGGCACUGAUUGACCCAACUGCCUCCUUGGAUCUUGGACCUGCUCAUUAAACCUCUGAGUGUUAUUUUCUUGUGAGAGAAUUUUCUGCCAUAAAUAGAGAUAGUCAUAUCAUUAUUAGAUCAUACUAUGAAGGCAUAUGUGAAAUUAAGAGCGGGUGGUUUUCAGAUAACUAUGGUUAAUGUAAGUUUCUUAAGAAUCAAAGCAACUAAAGAGAAGUGAAUCGGAUAAAUGUAAAAUAGGUUUGCGAGUUUGUAAUAGUUUCCUAAUUUCUAUUUCUUUACCACACAAACGAUGCAUUGAUUGUAAAAUAGGCUUUUGUGAUUAAUAAAUUUAACAUUUAUUCCAAAAAAAAGUGAAACGGAUAAAGACAAACCUUUUCUUGCACAUACUCUUUGCCGUGUGGUAUAUGAUGUUGCUCUUUAUCUGACUGAAUCAAGGAACGACUAGCUUCAAUUUCAGUCUCAAGUUGCUCGUUUGGAAACAACAAGCUAUACUUAGAUAAAUCGUCAUAUUUAACUGGAUUAUCAUUGGCAUGCACGUCAAACUAUAGGUACAUUAAUUUUCAUAAAGUUGAUAUGGAGAAGUUUUUUUCAUCGUUUAUUUUAUGAUGCUUAAACUUUAAAUUCACAUGUACAUUUAUUUAUUCUCAUUCUUGAUUUCCCUCGAACGCUGGAUCUUUUUUAGCUUGCUACGGAUUUUCUUGUCUCUGACUAAACGUGGGUGUUAUGAAAAUAGUAAACCUAUUCUAAAAUACGAUAAUAAAUAACCAUUAGACUUAAUAAUUAGAACAACAAAUAUAUUUAAUAUACUACCACAACAAAAUAUAUAGUCUAGUCAACCUUUUUAUUCCUAGACUACUAAUUUGAGAUAUAUUCAAAAUUAAUGGUAAUUGAACAAUUACCAAAAUAUUACAGUCAAAUUAUUUUUUACCAUACUACUAUAUGAAAUAUGUUGAAAAUUAAUGGUAAUUGAAUACAUUCCUAACGUUGUCCAUUUUGUGUUCUUGACUCUUCCUCUCAACUAUCUGUAUAUAUAAGAUUACAAGUGCAUGACUAUAUUUCAACAUCACAAAACAAAUAAAAGAUAAAACUAAAAGCGACAGCCAUGGGAACACCAAAACUGAAGUUGGCUGUCGAGGAGUUGGAGAUGGAUCAUCUCAUGCUCCAGAUCCAAAAUGGUAGAAUGCUUGAUGACCUUUCUCAAACCGAGACUGAGAAGUUAAAGUCAUAUGCAAGUAAGAAGUUCCAAACUCUUAUGGGUGAGAUCCCAAAGGCACCAUUCCCAAUGAUACAGGGGGGAAGUGUCUAUUUGAUGGAUAAGUGGAUCAAGGAUCCAUCUGAUAAGGAGGAUGAGAUGAAGAAGACCUGUGAAGGAGAGAGCAGCAAGUCUGGUGGUGCGGACGAUGCCUAAUGAAGCAGCUAGCCGUCGAAUAAUAAAAUUAAUGUGUCUUGGAAUAAAGUUGUUAUUGUUGUGUCUUUGCAUUCUCGUUUCAUAUUUCUAGUUUUUGUUGCUUUGGUCAUGUUUCCUGUUUUUUGUUUCUUGUUGUGUCUUAAACAUGUGUCUUUGUUUGCAUAUGUUAAUCUAAAUAAUGCAAUGUUUUCCCUUUGCAAUCAUUAAAGAGCUCAUCCCGUAUUUAACACUGUUUUUCUAGAGCUCAACAUAAAGCAAAUUGUUUGAGAACAAUAAGCAAUAUAUAUACACAUUAAUUUUCAUGAAUAGUUUGUAUGGAAAAGUUUUUCUCAUCGUUUCUUGUAUGAUGCUUAAACCUUAAAUUCACACGUAAUAUUUAUUAUUGUCUUUCUUGAUUUUCCCUCGAACGCUGGAUCUUUGGCUGCUUACUACGUAGCAUUUUUUUUUUCUUUUUAGCAUUUACAUUAAGACCACAAAUUACUCAGUAUCUACAAUUUCAUGAGAUUUGUUUUAGAGUGUGUGUGUCCUAUUUUUUGCAGACGCUGGUCUUCCUAGGGAUGGCAAUUGGUACCACCCGCCCCGCUGCGGUCUCUAUCUCAUGUGGAUCUUUGCGGGUCAGCCCGCCAUGACCCGCGGUACCCAAACCCGCGGGUAGUAAAAAAGAUGAUGUUUCGUUGUGGUGAGAAGAUUAUGUUUCCACAUGUUUUCUUGAACGAGGACGGCUCUCAACUCAAUACUGUAACUUAAUAACAGCAUGUGCACUACUAGGACUUAACAGAAACGAAGCAAACAAACUUCUUCCAUAUAAAGUAGGACUUAACAGAAACGCAUCAUUGCCCACAGAGAAAGGAAGGUAAAUUCUAUCUCCUACAUUCAAGGACUCCUUGGCUGCCACCUUCAAACAGACAACAUCAGCUUCUUAAAAAACAGUUCUUGUCCUAACCAAGAAUUAACAGAAGAGCUAUUUACCCUUUUAAGUUGGCUUCUUUGUAGUUCAUCACCGUCAUAAGUCACAUGCCCUUCUCUUUUUUAACCUGAAACACAUUUACAAAUCUCUUAAUCAUGUAACUCAAUGGUUCGAUCGAAUCAUCAAAAUAAAAUAUUUUAGCUGAAGAGAUCACGGACCUGUCUUAAACGAAAGAGUUUCUGUACGAGGUUUCUAGGUAAGUCCAGACGAAGAAUCCACCUCAGCUCCGGUGGUGGGAUCUCCAAGAAGAGAAGCUAUGGGGGUGGAAAGAAAACGGAGAGAAGCUUCACUGGUGGUUCGACGAAGAAGAGAAGCUCCGGUGGUGGCCUUAAUCAAAGAGAAGAAGAACCGGUUGGUGGUGAUGCUCCUCUGGUGCUCGACGGUGACUCGGUGGAGUCGUGGAGAACAUGAAUCGCCAUUUUUGUGAUCUCUCUUUUUUUUCAGGUGGAAACAAAACAAAACAGGAAGUGGUGCGGGUUCUUUCUGCCCCGCAAGACCCGCGAUAGUCCAAACCGCAAAGGCCCAAACCCACAUGAGACUUAACCCGCGACACCCGCUCACAAAUGGGCCUCAAUAUCUCUACCCAAACCCGCCCCGCAUGGGUCUUCUACGGGCCCAGCCCGUGGGCUGCGGUUUAUUUGCCAUUCCUAGUUUUCCCAUAAGUGUCCAAGUUAUUCACUCCCACCCAUUAGUCCAACGCUUUCAGUGUAAUGAUAAAAGAAAGCCAAAGUGGAGAGGGAUAGAGAGAGUAGAAUUACACCCCAAAGAUUCCAAUAGCAUUAAUCUUCUUAAUCGCUUCCCUCAUCGCAAAACCUUCUGCCAUUAGUGGUGACAUAACAAAGUUAGUGGAGAUUGAAAAUCUCUGAGUCUCUCUUGAAGUUUUGAUAGUCCAUCCCAGUCUAGCAGCCCCUGAUGUUUCAGUCUUGAAGCACGAUUUAACAUAUGUUUUUAAUAGGAAAGAAAUAAACCACAUGUGGAACAUGUGCUAGGGGAAAACAAUGUCCCUGUAAAAAUGGACUAGACACCACGUAGUGGCAGCUGAUCAAGCUCAGUUACUAGCUCCGUCAACUUAACCUGAUUUUCAUUCCUGCAUUGAACCAACUGCCUCCUUAGAUCUUGGACCUGGUAAUUAAGCCUUUGAAUCUUAUUUUCUUGUGAGAAAAUUCUCUGCCAUAAAUAGAGAUAGUCAUAUCAUUAUUAGAUCAUACUAUGAAGGCAUAUGUGAAACUAAGAGUGGGUGGUUUUCAGAUAACUAUGGUUAAUGUAAGUUUCCUCAGAAUCAAAGCAGCUAAAGAGAAGUGAAACGGAUAAAGACAAACCUUUUCUUGCACAGACUCUUUGCCAUGUAGUAUAUGAUGUUGCUCUUAAUCUGAUUGAAUCAAGGAACGACUAAAGUUUUCUUAUAUGGAGAAGUUUUCUUCAUCGUUUAUUGCCAUUCUUGAUUUCCCUCGAACGCUGGAUCUUUCGUUGCUUGUUACGGAUUUUCUUGUCUCUGACUAAACGUGCGUGUUAUGAAAAUAGUAACCUACUAGGCAGUAACUCGCGAUGUGAGCGGAGUAAAAUAGUUUAUUAGAUUAUUUAUAGUAUGUUGUACUAAAAGAUUUGUCAUAUAGCUUUUUUGGAAUAAAUAUUCAUAUAUAUGUUCGAAUUCAGUUGAUCUAUCGGGAUUUCACACUUUUAGAGUUAGAUAUUUAAAUCUUAUUCAGAUAUUUACAAAUUUUGGUUUAGAUUUGGUUUCGAAUCUUUGCGGGUUCAGUUCGGAUUCGAGUUCGGAUAUCCAUUUUAAUCAGGUAUUUUUUAACAAAAAUAUAAAUAUACUUAAAUGCUCAAAAUCCAAAAAUAAAAUAAUAUAAAACAUAAAAAAAUUAAUAAUGUAAGACUAACUAUUUAAAUUUACAUAAAAAUUCAUUCAAUUUAAAUAUUUGGAUGGAGAACAAAUAAAUAUUAUCAGUAUUUUUAACAUUUACUGUUAUUUUUAGAUAUUUACUUGUGUCUAUGUUGAUAAUUUUGAGAUACUUUCAUAUUUUUGAAUAUCUAAUGAAUAUAAAAUUUAAAAUAAUUAAUAUAUUUAAAUAUAUAAUUGAGAUUUAGAUAUUUUGGUAUCCAAAAUAUUUUAUUUUGGAUUAGAUUCGAUUCUGGUUAUCUAGAUAUUAAACUUUUAAUCCAUCUGAAUAUACUGAAUCGUUUUAGUUUGUGUUUAGUAUUACUUUCAAAUCUAGUUCGAUUCAGUUUCAGAUCCAGAUGAGUUAAUCAAAUAAAUAGUGUGUGAGCACAUUAAAUUAUUUGCGGUAGAGUUAAAAAAUUAGUGUGUGAAUGCAUUAAUUGUUAAAUGAUUGUGAGGCCGACACGUCAGCAUACUCAAAUUGAAAUCAAUGUGAAGCUAUAACAUAGAAAAUAUAGUGUGAACGCAUUAAUUACAAAUGUUUCUCUUUUAAUAUAUAGGAGAUACUAAAAUACGAUAAUAAAAAAAAUAGACUUAAUAAUUAGAAAAACCAAUAUAUUUAAUAUACUACCACAACAAAAUAUUUAGGGUCAAACUGGUAACCACUAUAGGAACACUAGGAAUGAGUAGGAGAAAAAUGUAGAGAAAUAAAAUUAUAGGAAGAAAAGAAAGAUUAUUCCUUACCGAUUUUAAUGAGAAACAAAUUUGUUCUAUAUUCCUCUAGAAUAAAAGGAAUGAGAAGAAUAAAAAAGAAAAAUUAUUUCUUAUAAAUGGUAAAAAUAAUUAGAAAUAGUAAUAAAUUCAUCAUUCCCUUUCAUUCAGUGGUCACCAGGUAGACACUCAGUAUAGUCAAACUUUUUAUUCCUAGACUACUAAUUUGAGAUAUAUUCAAAAUUAAUGGUACUUGAACAAUUACUAAAAUAAUACAGUCAAAUUAUUAUUUACCAUACUACUAUAUGAAAUAUGUUGAAAUUUAAUGGUAAUUGAAUACAUUCCCAAAGUAGUCCAUUUUGUGUUCUUGACUCUUCCUCUCGACUCUCUCUAUAUAUAUAAGAUUGCAAGUGCAUGACUAUAUUUCAACAUCACAAAUAAAAGAUAGAACUAAAAGCGACAGCCAUGGGAAGACCAAAAGUGAAGUUGGCUUGGGUCGAGGAACGAAAGAGAAGAGCUACUGUUUGCCAGCGGAGAAUGAAAGAAUUGAUUCAAAUGGCUGAAGAACUAACCAUCGUUUGUGAUAUGAGUGCAUGUUUGGUCUUUUACAACCGUAAAAAUGGUAAGCUGGUGGCGUGGCCAUCUCUGGAGGAGGCUCAAUCUCUCAUCGACUGCUAUAACGCAUUACCGGAAACCGAGAGGAACAUGAAGGCGGAUGAUGAAGAGUCAUCAUUCAUCAAGACCAUUACCAAGGAGAUCGAGAAGAAACUAGAGCUUUCUCGGAAGGCUAUCGAGGAGUUGAAGAUGGAUAAUCUCAUGCUCCAAAUCAAAAAUGGUAGUAGAAUGAUUGCUGAUCUUUCUCAAACCGAGAUUGAGAAGUUAAAGUCAUAUACAAGUAAGAAAAUUGUGUAUUAUGAUAGAGAGUUACGUAAGCAACAUCCGAAUACGAGUGGCAAUGAGCCAUUUCUUGAGGAUGACGAUGGGGAGAUGAAGACCUAUGAAGGAGAGAGCAGCGAGUCUGAUGGUGCGGACAAUGCCUAAUGAAGCAGCUAGCCGUCGAAUAAUAAAAUUAAUGUGUCUUGGAAUAAAGUUGUUACUGUUGUGUCUUUGCAUUCUCGUUUCAUAUUUCUAGUUUUUGUUGCUUUGGUCAUGUUUCUUGUUUUUUUUUGUUUUUGUUUCUUGUUGUGUCUUAAACUUGUGUCUUUGUUUGCAUAUGUUAACCUAAAUUAAUGCAAUGUUUUCCCUUUCAAUCAUUGAAGAGCUCAUCUCGUAUGUAACACUAUAUGUUUUCUAGGGUUCAACAUAGCAAAUUCUUUAAGAAUAAGCUAUAUUUUGAUAAAGCAUCGUAUUUAACUGAGAUUAUCAUUGGCAUGCAUGUCAAACUAUAGGUACAUUAAUUUUCAUGAAUAAUUUGAUAUGGAAAAAGUUUCUCCAACGUUUCUUUUAUGAUGCUUAAACCUUAAUUUCACACGUAAGAUUCAUUGUUGUCUUUCUUGAUUUUCCCCGACCGCUGGAUCUUUGGUUGCUUGCUACGUAGUGAAACUUUUUUAAGCAUAUACAUGAAGAAUACAAAUUACUCAGUAACUACAAUUUCAAGAGAUUUGUUGAAGUGUGUGUCCUGUCCAAGUUAUUGACUUCACUCAUUAGUCCAACGCUUUCAGUGUAAUGAUAAAUGAAACCAACGAGAAGAGAGAUAGAGAGAGAGUAGAAUUACACCCCAAGAUUCCAAUAGCAUUCUUAGAUACACAUACUUGAUGUAGUACACCUAUAAGGACAUCUAUAAGGACCACUCUUCUUUGAUUGCUUCUUCAAAGUACACAGAACUUUCAAGUGCGCAGUGUUUAUAAACAAGGCUUUUGGGGUAUUAGGUUGAUUAAAGAAUCUUGAUUAACAUUUCAAGCCUGUGAAGUGUGUGAGAGAAAGCUUCAAUCUGCACACACCAAACAUGUGAUUCAGAAUACAGUACUCAUGAGGAUUCAGUAGGGUGAAAAAAAUGCCCUUCUACUGUAAAACCUUUAUGCAGAGAAAGCUAUGGGCGUUCCCCAGUCAAAAAAAAAAUAUGCUUCUAAAAAAGUUUCAGAAGGAUAUUGCAACUACUUACCUAUAUCUACUGAGAGAUAUUCAGAGACAGACACAACAUAAUGUGUUCAUGAAGGUUUAUAUGUAAAGUGUCCACUGAACUUUGACAUGGAUAUACUUAGGUGAAACGUUUCAUCUUCUAGCAAAUUCGUUCUUCCCUUUAUAAUAUCUCUAGCCAGACUAUGUACAAGUUUUCAACUACCUCUAACAGUGUUCCCGGGGGAAAAACCAAAUUCUCCAAUGUCCAAAUCUAUUGAAAUAUCUAAGGUAAAAGGUCGAGACAGCAAGCAAGCACUCAAGAAAAAAGUACGCAUGUGGCUCGGAUCAAUAGGUAUGAUAUUCAUAUGGAAAAUUCAUUUUGAUAACCCUGGACCAGAUAUUAAUUUAGAAACCAUGCUGCCAUAUUCUGUCAAUCAUAUCCAAUAAGAUCAAUAUCUCAUAGUGCAUCAAAUUAGUUGGCAAUUGAUUCUAGCCAUCAAAUAGGUAAUUCUUGAAGCAUGAUUUAUUUUUUUUGGAAAGCAACUUCAUUGAUUAAAAACAAAAUUGAUUAAAUCCGUUGUUACAUGGCGUAAGGCCUCCUUAGCUAAGAAAUCAGCAUCAUAAUUCCUCUCUCGAGGAAUCCAACAGAAAGAAAUAGCAUCAAAAGAGCUAGCAUCUAUUCUAAUAUCUGAGAUUAUCCCACAAAUCUCCAAAGGCUCAGUAGAUAUUAAUUAAGUGCUUUGAUCAGCUGUGAGGAGUCUGAUUCACAUCUUAGUCACCGGAUCCCCAGUUCCUUACUCUUCCUAAUCGCUUCCCUCAUCGCUAAACCUUCUGCCAUAAGUGGUGACAUAACAAAGUUAGUGGAGCUUGAAAAUCUCUGAGUUUCUCUUGAAGUUUUGUUAGUCCAUCCCAGUCCAGCAGCCCCUGAUGUCUCAGUCUUGAAGCAUUAUGAUUUAACAUAUGUUUUUAACUGGAAAGAAAUAAACCACAUGUGGAACAUGUGCUAGGGAAAAACAAUGUGCCUGUAAGAAUGGACUAGAGACAACUUAGUGGCAGCUGAUCAACUCAGUUACUAGCUCCAUCAACUCAACCUGAUUUUCAUUCCUGCAUUGAACCAACUGCCUCCUUAGAUCUUGAACCUGCUCAUCAAACCUCUGAAUCUUAUUUUCUUGUGAGAGAAUUUUCUACCAUAAAUAGAGAUAGUCAUAUCAUUAUUAGAUCAUACUAUGAAGGCAUAUGUGAAAUUAAGAGCGGGUGGUUUUCAGAUAACUAUGGUUAAUGUAAGUUUCUUAAGGAUCAAAGCAACUAAAGAGAACUGAAUCGGAUAAAUUUAAAAUAGGUUUGUGAGUUUGUAAUAGUUUCCUAGUUUCUAUUUCUUUUCCACACAAACGAUGCAUUGAUUGUAAAAUAGGUUUUUGUGAUGAAUAAAUUUAACAUUCAUUCAAAAAAAAAAGUGAAGCGGAAAAAGACAAACCUUUUCUUGCACAGACUCUUUGCUGUGUGGUAUAUGAUGUUGCUCUGUAUCUGACUGAAUCAAGGAACGACUAGCUUCAAUUUCAGUCUCAAGUUGCUCGUUUGGAAACAACAAGCUAUACUUAGAUAAAUCGUCAUAUUUAACUGGAUUAUCAUUGGCAUACACGUCAAGCUAUAGGUACAUUAAUUUUCAUAAAGUUGAUGUGGAGAAGUUUUCUUCAUCGUUUAUUUUAUGAUGCUUAAACUUUAAAUUCACACGUACAUUUAUUUAUUGUCUUUCUUGAUUUCCCUCGAAUGUUGGGUCUUUCGUAGCUUGGUACGGAUUUUCUUGUCUCUGACUAAACAUGGGUGUUAUGAAAAUAGUAAACCUAUACUAAAAUACGAUAAUAAAUAAACAUUAGACUUAAUAAUUAGAACAACAAAUAUAUUUAAUAUACUACCACAACAAAAUGUAUAGUCUAGUCAACCUUUUUAUUCCUUGACUACUAAUUUGAGAUAUAUUCAAAAUUAAUGGUAAUUGAACAAUUACCAAAAUAUUACAGUCAAUUAUUAUUUACCAUACUACUAUAUGAAAUAUGUUGAAAAUUAAUGGUAAUUGAAUACAUUCCUAACGUUGUCCAUUUUGUGUUCUUGACUCUUCCUCUCAACUAUCUGUAUAUAUAAGAUUACAAGUGCAUGACUAUAUUUCAACAUCACAAACAAAAGAUAGAACUAAAAGCGACAGCCAUGGGAACACCAAAACUGAAACAUAUAUAUAACUAGAGUCGGCCCGCCCGUAUUUUACUUGUAAUCUAGAUUAUUAUUUUUUGUAUGAUUUUUUUGUGUCUAGGAUAGAAAUUAACGCCCUACAAACUUUCAAUUUUGAAUUAUUGCCUAUACACUAUCUAGCCCUUGAGUAAUUUGCCAAUAAUGAUUUCAAGAAUUUUAAUCAUAUUUUUCUUCCUCCCAACAAGCUAGGCAUUUCGAAUCGUGACUGUGACCAGUUUUACAAGUGCAUCACAUCCGUCUUCUCGAAGUCCAUGCCUCUCCACAUUUGCCUUGCAUAACUACCUCAAUGUUUCCGUUGUAGAAGACGCUCUGGUAUGGAUUCCUUCCACGGGAAGAUGAUAUAACCCACCAGAUCAAAUAUUCCAGGCUCUGCAACAGGGAGGAGUUUGAUCAAUUGCUCUGGUAUGGCUACGCUUUCCAUUUUCCAGUUUUUCUGUAUAUCACUCUCUCCUGCCGUGAACCACAAAACAUAUCACUCAACCUGAACAACAUUAAAAAGCUGAACUUUAAAACACAUCGAAAGAUCACUCCUUCUCUACACAGCUAAAGUCAGAAACAUUGGAUAAAACAGUAAACUUUACAAUUUAAAACGAAGUUUGUCUCCUAAAGAAAGCUAUUAAGUAAACAGAAUAAGAUUCAACUUUCAUGGCAAAUCCUUUCCAUCCACUUCAUCUACCAAAAAAAGAGAAAAAAUCAGAAUCAAACUUCAUGGCAAAUCCUUACCAUGGUCUUUUUCUAGCCUAUAUAAACUAUAUAUAACCCAUCAUCUUCAAAUCACAAACCUACAAAAAUAGAAAUAAUAUUCAUCAAGAGUUUCAACUAAGAGCAAAAUUCAGAUCUAAUAAAACUCAAACAAAACCCAGAUUUGUCUAUUCGACGGUGGUAAUCCUCCAUACAGCCUCUCCUCUCUUCCUCCACACUCCUCUCUGCUCCUCUACACCGUAUCGAUCCUCUGGUUCGUCUUCACACUUCGAUUAUUCAAACUUCACCAAAAUCAAAGCCACACAGAAGAGAUGAUGAGAAAGUAAAUAAUUUGUAGAUCUAAAAAGGAGGAGGGGAUUCAUUACCAUUAAUUGAUAGAAACGGUAGUGGAGAUGGAGAGACAUGAGAAGAGAUCUCCUGAUGGUGGAGAGACAUGGAGCAGAGAUCCGAGGGAAUAGAAGAACAGACGUGGAGAGCGAGAGAGAGAGACGGGAAGAGUAGAGACGUAAUAGCCGGAGAGGAGCGGAGCUGUCACGAAGUAGGAGAGGAGGCAUCACGGUGCUUAAUAACUUCACGUAGGAGAGAGGCAGAGGAGGAGAGGAGGUGUCACAAAGUUAUGAUCUGUAACUUAAAUGAAAUGCUAGUUUUUGGGAUGGUUGGACACGUGUCGUGCUCACAAAGCUCGACUUAUCUAGGUGGAAUCCUAGGUGUCCUAAGGAGAAGAGAACAAACUGUUUCUUUAUAUAUAAAAGAGUGUUUUGCUCUCUCCUGAGGCUGCCACCUAGGAUUCCACUUAGGAAAGUCGCUUCACGAGGAGUCAACACGUGUCCCGCCUCCUCGAAACACAGCGUUUCAUUAAAGGAAUCAGCGAUCCAUAUGGGCUAAGUUUGUGAAUGGGCUUUUCCGCGAAAACCUAAAAACUAUUUUUUUACGCCAAAACCUCAAAAAUGCAUUUUCCCGCAAAAUUGCAAAAACGUGUUUUCCCGUUAAAAUUGCAAAAACGUGUUUUCCGCAAAAACCGAAAAACAUGUUUUCAUGCCAAAAUCACAAAAAACUUCUUUUCACGCCAACACUCCAAAACACAUUUUUCGACCAAAACACAAAAACCCGUUUUUUCCGCCAAAAUUGCAAAAAAACGUGUUUUCCCGCCAAAACAAAAAAAAAAACGUGUUUUCCUACUAAAACCGAAAAUCUCAUUUUCCCGCCAAAGCUGAAAAAUCUCAUUUUCCCGCCAAAACCGAAAAAUCUCGUUUCCCGCAAAACCGCAAAAUACGCAAAAAGGCGUUUUCUUGCCAAAAACGUGUUUUCCCGCUAAAACCGCAAAAACAAGUUUUCCCCGCCAAAAACGCGUUUUCCGCCAAAACCGCAAAAACGCGUUUUACCGCCAAUAACAAAAUAUCUUAUUUUCUCGCCAAAACCGAAAAAUUUUAUUUUCCCGCGAAAAUUGCAAAAAACAUUUUUAUCUCCAAAACCGCAAAAGACGUGUUUUCCUGCCAAAAACGUGUUUUUCCGCCAAAACCGCAAAAACGUAUUUUCUCACCAAAAUUGAAAAUUUGUAUUUUCCCGCCAAAACCAAAAAAAAUCUCGUUUUCCCGCCCAGAACCGAAAAAAUCUCGUUUUUCGCCAAAAUCGAAAAAUGUGUUUUCUCGCUAAAACCAAAAAAACUUUUUUUCCCGCCCAAACCGCAAAAAGAAAACUCGUUAAUUUUGAAAUAAUUCUAAUGUAAAUAUAUUAAACUAAAUAAUUAAAUGUAAUAUAGUUAAAAUUAAUAUAAAACAUAUGAUUAAAUCAACACAAGAGUAUUUUGGUAAUUUGUUUACUAAAAUCAUUUGAAUGGAAAUGAAAAUAAAAAAAACAAACAUAAGAUCCAUAUAAAUGAUUCAUCUAUAUGAGCUAUGAGGAUGGACAAACAAUUAAUCACAAAAAUCUGAAUGAAUCAUUUGAAUAGAUCAUACAAAUAAAUCAUUUGGAUGGAGAUGACAAAUGGUGAAACAAACAACCCCUAUGUUAUUACAAAAUGGGUGGAGAAUAUUAACAAUUCUAUGAAUGGUUCCAUUGUAUUUUGAGCAUCCUUAAUAUCAUUUGAUUUAACAUACAUAAAAUAAAAAGAUUUCACAACACAAAAGACACUUUUUAAGAGGAAAAUCUAUACUAAUAAAAGGAAGCUUUUGAGGCUCCAUAGGGCGUCCACAUCAGCGGUAAAAAAUUCUUCUAAAAAUGACAUUUUGGCAUUAACAAAAAAUAAAAAGUAAAUAUACAUAGAAAGAAAAAUAAAUAAUAAGUAAAUAUACAACAUAAGAAAUAGAAAUAUUACAUUAAACAUUUAUAGGUAAAUAUACAAUAUAAGGAAAAAUAAAUGAAAAGUAAAUAUACAUUAUAAGAAAUAGAAAUAUUACAUUAAACAUCUAUAAUAAUUUAUCAUCUAAUAUAAAAGCAAGAAAAUUAGAAUAAAUAAAUAUAUAAUAAAAAAUAAAAAAUUAUAUUAAACAUCUAUCUGAAAAAAUGUAUCUAUACUAAUAAAAUAGAGCUUUUGAGGCUCAAUAGAGCGUCCACAUCAGCGAAAAAAAUAUUUUGUAAAGAUGACACGUGUCAUUAGUAAAAAAUAAAAAAUAAAUAUACAUAUAAAAAAAAAUAAUAAGUAAAUAUACAAUAUAAAAAAAAAUUAUUACAUUAAACAAUAAUAAGUGAGGCUCCAUAGGACGUCGACAUCAGCGGUAAAAAUGUUUUCUAAAAAAUCACACGUGGCA
rnacentral:lncRNA from 1 species